AGAACGAACGCUGGCGGCAGGCCUAACACAUGCAAGUCGAACGCUCGUAGCAAUACGGGAGUGGCAGACGGGUGAGUAACGCGUGGGAACGUACCCUUCGGUUCGGAAUAACCCGGGGAAACUCGGGCUAAUACCGGAUACGUCCGCAAGGAGAAAGAUUUAUCGCCGAAGGAUCGGCCCGCGUCCGAUUAGCUAGUUGGUGGGGUAAUGGCCCACCAAGGCGACGAUCGGUAGCUGGUCUGAGAGGAUGAUCAGCCACACUGGGACUGAGACACGGCCCAGACUCCUACGGGAGGCAGCAGUGGGGAAUAUUGGACAAUGGCGCAAGCCUGAUCCAGCCAUGCCGCGUGAGUGAAGAAGGCCCUAGGGUUGUAAAGCUCUUUCAGCGGGGAAGAUAAUGACGGUACCCGCAGAAGAAGCCCCGGCUAACUUCGUGCCAGCAGCCGC
rnacentral:rRNA from 1 species